AACUGGGCCUGAAGCUGCUUAGCUGCCAAGAUCAGAUGAGCUCAGGUGCUUUCAGGACAGAAUGGCCAUGGGCAAGCGGCUAAAGGUUUUUAAUGGGGUGUGAUAACUAUGUGGGAGUGUGUAAAAGCCACGUGCUUCUCAUGUCGCCCUCUUCUCCUUUGUGUCCCUUUAACAGGCCGGACCCCUUUCUUGCCAUCUCCCGCUGCUUCGGCAAAGGACACCCAGGAGUCUCAGAGGCAAAGGGCCAAAUAUUGGAGCAAGGAAGAGAUUGGAGUCUUUGUCGACUUAUGGGUCAGCCCGGAGGUGCAAAAUGAACUCCGGAAUAUGUACCAUAACGAGGCAGUCUUUAACUGGCUCUCCAAUGAAAUGGGCCUGCGAGGCUUCAACCGCUCGGCUCGCCAGUGCCGGGAGAAGAUGAACGCCCUGAAGAAGAAAUUUAAGGAGGUCACCACGCAGAAUAAGUGCCCCGGAGCGGAACUCAGCACCAUGCCCUUCUAUGAUAAGCUAGCCACGAUCCUCCUGCACAGAAGGGAUGGCACCCCUCGGUAUGCUGUGGGCAGCGGGGCGCCAGAUAAGGGCCCAUGGCCGAAGCAGGCGGCGCUGGCUCGGCAGGCCUCACCCCUCGCUCCGGGUACUUCUGGCCUGGCAAGGCAGCCUCUAACAAUGGCGAGCCAAGCCAGGCCGCCUCCUCAAAAGCAGGCCCGUCUUCUCCAGGGGAAGUUGGGUCCUGCUCAGGCCGGCUGGGUGUCCGCCCUUCACCACCACGAGCUUUUCUCACAGCCCAGCGGGAGCGCGUCGACGCAAGCCGAGGAUAAGCCUCUCAGAUUGAAUUCCCCAGGGCACCUCGCUUUGCUCACUCCCAAAAUUGAAGAGGAGGAGCCCCAGGAGGAGCAGCCCAGCUCGAGCGGCAAUGGGCUCCCCGGCGGCCUGCCCCCGGUGGAGGUGCGAGUGGUGGACGAGCAUGGCGCCACCGUUGCAAGCGCCAUGUACAAGCAGUGCAAGGAAGAGCAGGAAGAAGAGAGUGAGGCAGCCCUGGAUUUGGAGCUCGACUUUGACACGAAGCUAAUAAGAGAGAUCGUGGCUGAUGGAGACCCUCCGGAGGUAGCCGAGGUCCUCGUGGACCCGAACGCACUGUCAGAGCUGUCGGAAGAGCCGUGCAGCGGAGGGGAGGGGGAGGAUGACUUUCCUGUGGAUUUGCUCCAGUCUUUUGAGGACCGGUUCUCCACCAUCCACGGGCUCAGGAAUGGCAGCCAUGUGCGAGAAAGACUGGAUCGGAAGCAGCCGCCGCCCAGGGAUCCAUCUCUAGCUGAGCAAGAGGGCAAAGUGCUUGAAAAUGCAGAUCCCGCCUCUUUUCUCCUGGACGGCGUGGGACACAUGGAUGCUCGCGUGGGUGGUGAUCGGGCUGCCGGUGCAGCGGAGGAGCCGUGCUUUGACUAUAUCCCUCCUGCUGUGGAGCUGGAUGAAAAGGCACCGUUGACCAAUGCACAAAGGGCUGCAAGAUUCAGAAACAAGAGGAAAGCGGAGAGAGCGCAGAUGGCCAAAGAUCUUAUUAAGGCCACCAGGGAAACUGGGGAGCAAAUCCGAGAGGCUCUUUAUGAACUCGAUAGCAAGGAAUCGGAGAGGCGGGUCGACGACCGCAGGGUGGCCGUCUGGUGCGCAAGGCACAUCGCGAGGAGCAUACGGGAGUCCAGCCAGACGAUGGCGACAGCCAUGCGUGGCUCCGACGCGGCGCUCCAGAAGUGCAUGGAGAAGUACACUGCUGCCCUAGAGAGGCAAACGACUCUGUUGGAGCGCAUCGCGGACUCAUUAAACGCACAAGCAGUGGCUCCACAACCUUCUCCAAUUAUUCCCACCGAUAGGAUACGUGCGGCGUCCCUGCAUUCAAGUACCAUACCGGCCCCUUCCCUUCCCCAGCCCACGUGUGUUGAGCAAGACCCUCCGCUUGCUGAGAAGUCAGCCGGCGAACGAGGACGAGCUACUUAGGAAGCGGGGACGGGAGGUUAGGUGGAAGUAGCGGUGGGCCGCAAGGGUUGAACAGAAGGUUGAAGCCGCUGCAGCUUUUGCAUGGUUCCUCUUCUCAAGGAAAAAACGGUUCUCGAAGCAUUGAAAGGGGAUAAGAUGACGGUGGUGCUUCCAUUUACUGUCUACUGUAGGGGCGGGCAGAAUGUACACCUCCAGAUGUUUGGGACUUCAACCCCCCCGUAUUCCUGACCACGGGCUGUACUAGCAAGGGCUUCUGGGAGUUGAAGUCCAAGGCCUCUAGAGAUGUAAUUUUGCCCUGGCCCUGGUCUACUGUACCAUGCCUAUGAUCAGUGUUCUUUAGGCUUUUCUUUGUUAUGCUACUUGAGAAAGUGGUGCUGUUUUUUGCACCUUAUAGCAAUGCCUUUAUACAGGUCGAUGAUCUUUAUGGUUUACCAAGCCCGGAUUCGACCCGGCAUUUUUUUUUUAAAUAGCACUCCACAGUGCCCAGUUCUUUCUAGCCAGAAUUGCUCAUAGUGGCUACUUUGCAACCAUUUUGCAGUUGUAUGGAAAAUAAAAGUUAAAGUCCUCUUUUUGAAACAUGCAACUGCGACAAAUCAUUCACCACUGUUUCAUCACAGAAAUAUGUAUCAGCAACAUGGUACAUCAAGUUCAAGAGUAUUUACUGGGAAAAUGCCUAUUUGCUGGUGUGUGUGUGUCUGUGUGAAA
ensembl:lncRNA